rnacentral:rRNA from 1 species
AGCGAACGCUGGCGGUAGGCCUAACACAUGCCAGUCGAACGGCAGCACAGUAAGAGCUUGCUCUUACGGGUGGCGAGUGGCGGACGGGUGAGGAAUACAUCGGAAUCUACUUUUUCGUGGGGGAUAACGUAGGGAAACUUACGCUAAUACCGCAUACGACCUACGGGUGAAAGCAGGGGAUCUUCGGACCUUGUGCGAUUGAAUGAGCCGAUGUCGGAUUAGCUAGUUGGCGGGGUAAAGGCCAACCAAGGCGACGAUACGUAGCUGGUCGGAGAGGAUGGUCGGCCACACUGGAGCGGGAACACGGACCAGGCUCCUACGGGAGGCAGCAGUGGGGAAUAUGGGACAAUAGGCGCAAGCCUUAUCCAGCCAUACCGCGUGGGUGGAGGAGGCCUUCGGGUUGUAAAGCCCUUUUGUUGGGAAAGAAAAGCAGCAGGUUAAUACCCCGCUGUUCUGACGGUACCCAAAGAAUAAGCACCGGCUAACUUCGUG